GAUGAACGCUGGCGGCGUGCUUAACACAUGCAAGUCGAACGGAAAGGCCUCUGCUUGCAGGGGUACUCGAGUGGCGAACGGGUGAGUAACACGUGGGUGAUCUGCCCUGCACUUCGGGAUAAGCCUGGGAAACUGGGUCUAAUACCGGAUAGGACAAUGGUUUGGAUGCUGUUGUGGAAAGUUUUUCGGUGUGGGAUGAGCUCGCGGCCUAUCAGCUUGUUGGUGGGGUAAUGGCCUACCAAGGCGUCGACGGGUAGCCGGCCUGAGAGGGUGUACGGCCACAUUGGGACUGAGAUACGGACCAGACUCCUACGGGAGGCAGCAGUGGGGAAUAUUGCACAAUGGGCGCAAGCCUGAUGCAGCGACGCCGCGUGGGGGAUGACGGCCUUCGGGUUGUAAACUCCUUUCGCUAGGGACGAAGCGUUUUUGUGACGGUACCUGGAGAAGAAGCACCGGCUAACUACGUG
rnacentral:rRNA from 1 species